GUCCCCAUCGUCUAGCCUGGUCUAGGACACCGCCCUUUCACGGCGAAAACAGGGGUUCAAAUCCCCUUGGGGACG
rnacentral:tRNA from 3 species